CACGUAGGGUGCGAGCGUUGUCCGGAAUUAUUGGGCGUAAAGAGCUCGUAGGCGGUGUGUCGCGUCGGCCGUGAAAACUUGGGGCUUAACUCUGAGCGUGCGGUCGAUACGGGCAUCACUUGAGUUCGGCAGGGGAGACUGGAAUUCCUGGUGUAGCGGUGAAAUGCGCAGAUAUCAGGAGGAACACCGGUGGCGAAGGCGGUUCUCUGGGCAUGUCCUGACGCUGAGGAGCGAAAGUGUGGGGAGCGAACAGG
rnacentral:rRNA from 1 species